rnacentral:rRNA from 1 species
AAUAGAUACCCCGGUAGUCCACGCCGUAAACGAUGGAUACUAGCUGUUUGAGCGCAAGUUUGAGUGGCUAAGCGAAAGUGAUAAGUAUCCCACCUGGGGAGUACGGGCGCAAGCCUGAAACUCAAAGGAAUUGACGGGGGCCCGCACAAGCGGUGGAGCAUGUGGUUUAAUUCGAUGAUACGCGAGGAACCUUACCGAGGGUCUUAAAUGUAGAUUGACGUAUUUGGAAACAGAUAUUUCUUCGGACAAUUUACAAGGUGCUGCAUGGUUGUCGUCAGCUCGUGCCGUGAGGUGUCAGGUUAAGUCCUAUAACGAGCGCAACCCUGUUGUUAGUUGCCAGCGAGUAAUGGUCGGGAACUCUAGCAAGACUGCCAGUGUAAACUGUGAGGAAGGGUGGGGAUGACGUCAAAUCAUCACGGCCCUUACGUCCUGGGCCACACACGUGCUACAAUGGCCGGUACAGAGAGCAGCCACUUAGCGAUAAGGGAGCGAAUCUAUAAAGCCGGUCACAGUUCGGAUCGGAGUCGUGCUAACCG